rnacentral:rRNA from 1 species
AGAGUGAACGCUGGCGGUAGGCCUAACACAUGCAAGUCGAACGGCAGCACGGUAAGAGCUUGCUCUUAUGGGUGGCGAGUGGCGGACGGGUGAGGAAUACAUCGGAAUCUACCUUUUGGUGGGGGAUAACGUAGGGAAACUUACGCUAAUACCGCAUACGCCCUUCGGGGGAAAGCCGGGGACCAGCAAUGGCCUGGCGCUGAUAGAUGAGCCGAUGUCGGAUUAGCUAGUUGGUGAGGUAAUGGCUCACCAAGGCGACGAUCCGUAGCUGGUCUGAGAGGAUGAUCAGCCACACUGGAACUGAGACACGGUCCAGACUCCUACGGGAGGCAGCGAGUGGGGAAUAGUUGGACAAUGGGACGCGAAGCCUAGAUCCCGAGCCAUACCGGCGUGGUGAAGAAGGCCGUUCGGUUGUAAACGUCCCGUUUAGUUAGGAAAG